GACUGUGUCGGUUCUAUCCAUUGAACUUCCUCACGUUCAACCUUAGAGUCAUUAAUCCCUUCCCCAAGGAAUUUUUUUCUAAAAAGACUGCCCUAAGGUUGACAAACAUCUUUUGUUCAUCAAUAACAUAGAAGUAAUACCCCUUAUUUUCUUUAGAAUACCCAAUAAAAUUAUAUCUAUCAGACCUGACUCCAAGUUUGUCUGUUUUCAAAUACUUCACAUAAGCCGGAUAUCUCCAAAUCCUAAGGUG
rnacentral:lncRNA from 1 species